rnacentral:lncRNA from 1 species
AUGUAUUCCUACUUUUCUGGUUUGUGUUCCCUAACUGUGCUUUUCUUUUUAAGAUAUCAGUGUGGGAUAGUGUAUACAAAGUCAUUUCUAGAAUGCUUGAAGAAAAUGAAAAUUACAGACUUAGGCUUAACUGCCAAAGAUCAUCUAGUGAAAACUCAAGUUAUACAAAAUAAACCUUCCUGUCAUCAUCCGGAUUAACCUAUCUUUGGGUCUGUUUCCUGGGGAAGACGAUGAAGAGUUGAAAGAUGGAAUGUUAAAUGGAAUCAUAUUUAUUUAUUAUUUU